AUACACUCUGCUUCUGACUUGCUAGUAGUCUUUACCUAGGUACUGUCAGGGCACGCCCUCAUACUCUGCUUCUGACUGGCUAGUAGUCCUUAGGUACUGUCAGGGCACGCCCUCAUACUCUGCUUCUGACUGGCUAGUAGUCCUUAGGUACUGUCAGGGCACGCCUUCAUACUCUGCUUCAGACUGACUAUAGUCCUUAGGUACUGUCAGGGCACGCCCUCAUACUCUGCUUCUGACUGGCUAGUAGUCCUUACCUAGUUGCUGCACAUGUAAGACUCUCAACAAAGAUGGAAGAGAAGUGACUCAUGUCUCAUUCUUUAGCUGAAACAGAGAGCUUAACAACAAACAGGGUGAAGAGAGGAGCU